rnacentral:rRNA from 1 species
UACGUAGGGUGCGAGCGUGGUCCGGAAUUAUUGGGCGUAAAGAGCUCGUAGGCGGUUUGUCACGUCUGCUGUGAAAUCCCGAGGCUCAACCUCGGGCCUGCAGUGGGUACGGGCAGACUGGAGUGCGGUAGGGGAGAAUGGAAUUCCUGGUGUAGCGGUGGAAUGCGCAGAUAUCAGGAGGAACACCGAUGGCGAAGGCAGUUCUCUGGGCCGUAACUGACGCUGAGGAGCGAAAGCGUGGGGAGCGAACAGG